rnacentral:rRNA from 1 species
UGGAGAAAGUUUAUCCUGGCUCAGAUUGAACGCUGGCGGCAGGCCUAACACAUGCAAGUCGAGCGGUAACAGAAAGUAGCUUGCUACUUUGCUGACGAGCGGCGGACGGGUGAGUAAUGCUUGGGAACAUGCCUUGAGGUGGGGGACAACAGUUGGAAACGACUGCUAAUACCGCAUAAUGUCUACGGACCAAAGGGGGCUUCGGCUCUCGCCUUUAGAUUGGCCCAAGUGGGAUUAGCUAGUUGGUGAGGUAAUGGCUCACCAAGGCAACGAUCCCUAGCUGGUUUGAGAGGAUGAUCAGCCACACUGGGACUGAGACACGGCCCAGACUCCUACGGGAGGCAGCAGUGGGGAAUAUUGCACAAUGGGCGCAAGCCUGAUGCAGCCAUGCCGCGUGUGUGAAGAAGGCCUUCGGGUUGUAAAGCACUUUCAGUCAGGAGGAAAGGUUAGUAGUUAAUACCUGCUA